rnacentral:rRNA from 1 species
GUCUACAGCCAUGCCACCUUGAAUAAGCCCAAUCCCGUCUGAUUUUGGAAGCUAUGCAAGGUUGGACCUGGUUAGUACUUGGAUGGGAGACCACGUAGGAAGACCAGGUGCUGUAAGUG